rnacentral:tRNA from 2 species
UCCUGGUUAGCUCAGUUGGUAGAGCACUCCACUGAAUAUGAAGAGGUCCUUGGUAGAAUACCAAGAUCAGGGA